UACGAAGGGGACUAGCGUUGUUCGGAAUCACUGGGCGUAAAGCGCACGUAGGCGGAUGUGUCAGUCAGGGGUGAAAUCCCGGGGCUCAACCUCGGAACUGCCUUUGAUACAGCACGUCUCGAGUCCGGAAGAGGUGGGUGGAAUUCCUAGUGUAGAGGUGAAAUUCGUAGAUAUUAGGAAGAACACCGGUAGCGAAGGCGGUCCACUGGUCCGGUACUGACGCUGAGAAGCGAAAGCAUGGGGAGCGAACAGG
rnacentral:rRNA from 1 species